rnacentral:rRNA from 1 species
UACGAAGGGUGCAAGCGUUACUCGGAAUUACUGGGCGUAAAGCGUGCGUAGGUGGUGAGUUAAGUCUGAUGUGAAAUCCCGGGCUCAACCUGGGAAUGGCAUUGGAUACUGGCUCGCUAGAGUGCGGUAGAGGGUGGUGGAAUUCCCGGUGUAGCAGUGAAAUGCGUAGAGAUCGGGAGGAACAUCUAAGGAGAAGGCGGCCACCUGGACCAACACUGACACUGAGGCACGAAAGCGUGGGGAGCAAACAGG